rnacentral:rRNA from 1 species
UACGUAGGGUGCAAGCGUUGUCCGGAAUUAUUGGGCGUAAAGAGCUCGUAGGCGGUUUGUCGCGUCUGCUGUGAAAACUGGAGGCUCAACCUCCAGCCUGCAGUGGGUACGGGCAAACUAGAGUGCGGUAGGGGAGAUUGGAAUUCCUGGUGUAGCGGUGGAAUGCGCAGAUAUCAGGAGGAACACCGAUGGCGAAGGCAGGUCUCUGGGCCACUACUGACGCUGAGAAGCGAAAGCAUGGGGAGCAAACAGG